CAUUAAGAAGCUAAACCGGGAACAGCAUUAGCCUUUUAAGCUAAAGACUGGUGGCCCCCAACCACCCUUAGUGA
rnacentral:tRNA from 1 species